rnacentral:rRNA from 1 species
AACGAACGCUGGCGGCGUGCUUAACACAUGCAAGUCGAACGGGUUCAUAAUGAGUAGCAAUACUUGAUAUGAAUUAGUGGCGGACGGGUGAGUAACACGUAGGUAACCUACCCUUGAGCGGGGGACAACCCAGGGAAACUUGGGCUAAUACCCCAUAAGACCACGGGGUGUGAAUCUUGUGGUAAAAGUAGCGAUACGCUCAUGGACGGGCCUGCGGCCUAUCAGGUAGUUGGUGAGGUAUCGGCCCACCAAGCCAAAGACGGGUAGCCGGGCUGAGAGGUUGAACGGCCACACUGGAACUGAGACACGGUCCAGACUCCUACGGGAGGCAGCAGUGGGGAAUAUUGCACAAUGGGGGAAGCCCUGAUGCAGCGACGCCGCGUGGAGGAUGAAGGUCUUCGGGUUGUAAACUCCUUUUAUUGGGAAAGAUGAUGACGGUACCCAAUGAAUAAGCCACGGCUAACUCUGUGCCAGCAGCCGCGGUAAGACAGAGGUGGCGAGCGUUGUUCGGAUUACUGGGCUUAGAGGGCGAGUAGGCGGUGGGACAAGUCUGAUGUGGAAUCUUA